rnacentral:lncRNA from 1 species
GGAGUGUUGGACUCUGGUUGAGCAUCUAGAAAUGAAUCUCGCUUGCUCCCUAAGCAUUGCCAUUCCGAAUGCCAAGAGCUAAGAGCUGGAUCCCACUGUUGCAGAAUCCAAAACAAAGCCGGAAGGAGGGGUUGCCUUUCCAGCCGUGCUUGAACAGCUUGGGGGAUGAUGCAGUAGCCCGGAGCAGUGGCUAUCUGCAGAAGAAAAGCAAUCUGUCUGGACCCUAAGGAUAACAGGCAAAGCCAGCUGCAAACAUCUGCCAGCAUGCUGGCUGAGGAAGCAGAACUCAGGUGAGCUCUGAGCCCAUAAGCUGUUCAGCUGCUAUCAAAGGAGGCUGGCUGCGGGUGCAGGCGUCCACCUGAGGAGUGGAUGUUAACAGUAGCUGUCCUGUUCUGGGCCCUGGCCUUGGCAUCCUAGACUGGGGGGGCCCUUAACGUCAGCUUCCUUGUUCCCAACAGCUAUCCCCACUCUAAACUUUGCUCACCGAGUGUCCGCAUGCAUGUGGAGUUGGCAUUAAAAAUAGACUUCUACAUUUGAUCACAAGCCAGGUCGGUGACAGACACAGACCAUGGACAAUGAUCCGGAAUUGAUGGUGCACAUAACCAACAGAAAAA